ACUCAAAGGAAUUGACGGGGGCCCGCACAAGCGGUGGAUUAUGUGGUUUAAUUCGAAGCAACGCGCAGAACCUUACCUAGGCUUGAACUCCUUCGAAGUCGGGGUAACUCCUGAUGUGCCCGCAAGGGAAUGAAGUGAGAGGUGCUGCAUGGCUGUCGUCAGCUCGUGUUGUGAAAUGUUGGGUUAAGUCUCGCAACGAGCGCAACCCCUAUCGUCUGUUGCCAGCAUUAAGUUGGGCACUCUGACGAGACUGCCUGGGUUAACCAGGAGGAAGGUGGGGAUGACGUCAAGUCCUCAUGGCCCUUAUGUCUAGGGCUACACACGUAAUACAAUGGUACGUACAGAGGGAAGCGAACCUGCGAAGGGGAGCAAAUCUCAAAAAGCGUAUCUCAGUCCGGAUUGGAGUCUGCAACUCGACUCCAUGAAGUUGGAAUCGCUAGUAAUCGUGGAUCAGAACGCCACGGUGAAUACGUUCCCGGGCCUUGCACACACCGCCCGU
rnacentral:rRNA from 1 species